rnacentral:tRNA from 1 species
ACCUGGCUGGCUCAGUCAGUUAGAGCAUGUGACUCUUGAUCUUGGGGUGGUGGGUUCAAGUCCCAUGUUGGGCC